UUUGCAUUAAUAUUUAUUGAUACAAAAUUAAUUUGUAGCAAAUCACAUAUAUACAAUUUACACUGGAGAAAUACCUUUUAAGAUCAAUGAAACAACAUGCCCCUAAAGCUGGGGUGUAUUGCCAGUCGGAUGGUAGUUAACAGUGUUCUCUAGAACUCAUUUGCAGCAGAUGAUCUUCAGUUUGCAGGCAGAGCUAUGUCUCCAACGUGCUGCUUGGUUUUGGUCUAAAUUACGAAAAGAACAGAAAUUAGUUCAAAUUAACACAGUUAAAAAAAGCCUAUCUGACUGUGCCAUGACAUUAAGGGGGGCUACUAGACAGUAAAGUGGAACCACUACAAACUGUACUCACAGCAGCAAGGACAUUAGAGCAUUCACCUACUCCAGCGGCAAAUCAAUAAAAAUAUCGGUAUCAUUUCAAUUACACUCAAAAAAGCACAUUAGCCUAAUUUAAUUUAAGCAACAGUGGUCUCUAACAAACACAUUCCUCUCUGCAAAGCUGCCACGACUUCCCAAAUAUGAUGGAUAAUGGCUUGGCAACUUCACCCGCUGGUUAUUCCUAGCCUGCUACAUGACACAGAAAAGGACCUCCACUUGAGGUGUACAGCAUGUGGGUCCUCCCAACACAAGCAUGAACUAAACUUAUAGAAGAGCAGUUUCCAUAGCAUGGGAAUCUCCAGUUUCACAGAGUGGCUGAGGCUGGAAGGGACCUCUGGAAGUCACCUGGUCCAACACCCCCUGCUCAAAGCAGGCCCACCACCAGCCAGGUGCUCCAGAUUCAGUUAAGCUCUUCUUCCCCAUAUGUGAGCUUUUGCCUGAUCUCUUCUGUACCUCUUCACCCCUCCACAGCAACCACGGUGGUAAGAAUGAGGUUGUCAAGCGUACUUUGCAAAUACACGUUCCCACCUGCAGGCAGCAAGUAGGGUAGAAUGGAGAUAACAGAUUCUGAGCUGUGGGGACAGAGCUGUUCCACAUGGAAGGAUGUGUCAAAUGAGCCUAGAGAGGUCUUAGCUCUGUCUCUAGGAGAAACACAUGAAGGCAAUCCUGAAGGGCCACCCAGAUCUUCCAGCUUAUUUAGUCCAGGUUCCUCCUUAGACACCACAGAAACUUCAAAACCCAGGAGGAUUAUUUUCUCUUGGCAUUUACCAGAAAAGUCAGGCAACAACGGGGUGUGAGAGGGCACAUGUGUCCACAUCCAAAUCUGCAGCAAUGGGCACACACCACCAUGCUAGACCUCUGUGCCAAAACCAGCUGGUGCCAAACGGCAUUCCCACUGGCAAGAGGAAUGAAGAUGUUAGAGCAGGUGAAUGCCUGGACCAGCCUGCCAAUGCAAAAUUGGCGUAUGGCAUGGUGCCCAAGUGAUGGCAAAGCCACAGCAAGAUUGUGCCAAGGCAAAGCAAGUCACCAGCACGCUGAAUUACUGCUACAAGAGGAGCUAAAAGCACAAUGCUACAAUGCUCUGGGGUAAGCCUGGCCGGGGGAACGGUCGUGGGAUGGAGCCUUUCAGCACUGCAGAGCCAAUCUCAACAGAUGGAUGAGACUCAAGGGCAAUCAUGCAGGCCUGAAGUGGUCUCAGUUCUGCUUCUGCAAGCAGCAGAUGACAACAAUAACAAACACCUUGCUGGUGACAUCCUGAGCUGACCUUCAUGGGAUUAAAACUACACAAAAGUCUUUCAAAGAAUGGAGGCCAAAGGAAGCUCUGCAUCACUUCUCUGAAUGAGAAAUUGGAAGCUUUGCCAGGCCCUGUACAAAGCCUGAAGAAGAGGUAGCAAAGGAACCUUCAGGCACAAGAACACCUCAAAAUAAUUCAAAUACCUGGAACUGAGUUAGAAAAAUGAUGAAAUCUUUGCAAGCAGCACAAAGACAACAAAAAAAAAAAAAUCUUCAGUAAAGGGAAAUGCAUCCAAAGAAGGCAAAGAAAUUAGUUCAGGCAGCAAGACAGAAAAUGAAGGAGCAGAUUGAAACUCUAUACAGCAGC
ensembl:lncRNA